GAUCCUGGCUCAGGACGAACGCUGGCGGCGCGCCUAACACAUGCAAGUCGAACGGAGAUACCUGUUAGAUCCCUUCGGGGUGACGAUGGACUAUCUUAGUGGCGGACGGGUGAGUAACACGUGAGCAACCUGCCUUACAGAGUGGGAUAACGUUUGGAAACGAACGCUAAUACCGCAUAACAUUAACUUAUCGCAUGGUAAGAUAAUCAAAGAAAUUCGCUGUAAGAUGGGCUCGCGU
rnacentral:rRNA from 1 species